rnacentral:lncRNA from 1 species
CUCUUGAAGAAACUGAUGCAGUUUAAUACUAGCAAUAAUGUUGGAUGCAUAAUGCUUGCUGCAAGUGUUAAAUCUUGGAUGACCCGAAGCUCAGGCAGUAGGAGAACGAAACGAAGAAAAAGAGAGAGUAGAAGCAUUGGUAAUGGCCAAGUAUGAGAAAAAUAUAGGAAAAGAGGACGUCUUGGAGGGAAAAGACAUUUUCAUCAUUUUAAAAUUUUAAAAUAUUAAUAUAAUAUGCAUUAAAUCUCUACGAUGUGCACCCUCCGUAUAUUACAUCUUAUUAAAUGCAGCAUCAGACGGUCGAGAUGAUGGUUAUAGGGCGCAUUUUCUCCAUGCUAUGUGGAUCAAUUGGCUGCCGCGGUGUGCUCUUCAUCAUUUUUACUGCACCGCAUGUGGUGCUCAAAGAAUUACUCAAUGUUAGAGAUAUUUCAUUACUAAACAUACUAGCUAACUUGGUCGAUAAAGUCACAUAGUAAUUAUAAAAGCUGAAAAGAAGAUGAAGGUCACAAUGUAGAUGAGUGUAGAUCCCACUUCAAAAUUACCAACUCAAGCUCAAGCCCAGACACAGAC